UGAAUACGAGACGCUAAGGCGUCGAAGUAGUGUAUGUCAUACUUCCAAGAAAAGCUUGCACUGUCAUAAAUGAAAAAUGCCUGUACCAUAACCGACACAGGUGGGUAGGUAGAGUAUACUAAGGGGCGCGAGAUAACUCUCUCUAAGGAACUCGGCAAAAUAACUCCGUAACUUCGGGAGAAGGAGUGCCUUAUUCUUAAGGUUGCAAUAACAAGAUCCAAGCAACUGUUUAUCAAAAACACAGGUCUCCGCUAAGUCGCAAGACGAUGUAUGGGGGCUGACGCCUGCCCAGUGCCAGAAGGUUAAAGAAGUUGGUUAGCUUUUGCGAAGCUGAUAACUGAAGCCCUGGUGAACGGCGGCCGUAACUAUAACGGUCCUAAGGUAGCGAAAUUCCUUGUCGGGUAAGUUCCGACCCGCACGAAAGGCGUAAUGAUUUGGAUACUGUCUCGGAGAGGGGCUCGGUGAAAUAGACUUGUCUGUGAAGAUGCGGACUACCUGCACCAGGACAGAAAGACCCUAUGAAGCUUUACUGUAACUUGAAAUUGAAAUUGGACUUUAUUCGCGCAGUAUAGGUGGGAGGCGUUGAUUGUAAUCUUGCGGGAUUAUUGGAGCCAUCAGUGAGGUACCACUCUUGUAAUGUUAGAUUUCUAACUUUGUAUCAUUAUCUGGUCAAAGAACAGUUUCAGGCGGGCAGUUUGACUGGGGCGGUCGCCUCCUAAACGGUAACGGAGGCGUACAAAGGUUUCCUCUGAACGGUUAGAAAUCGUAUCUAGAGUGUAAAGGCAUAAGGAAGCUUGACUGUGAGACCUACAAGUCGAGCAGGGACGAAAGUCGGUCUUAGUGAUCUGACGGUACUGAGUGGAAAGGCCGUCACUCAACGGAUAAAAGUUACUCUAGGAUAACAGGCUGAUCUCCCCCAAGAGUUCACAUCGACGGGGAGGUUUGGCACCUUGAUGUCGGCUCAUCGCAUCCUGGGGCGGUAGUACGUCCCAAGGGUUGGGCUGUUCGCCCAUGAAAGCGGUACGCGAGCUGGGUUCAGAACGUCGUGAGACAGUUCGGUCCAUAUCCGGUGUAGGCGUUAGAAUAUUGAGAGGAGCCUUCUUUAGUACGAGAGGACCGAGAAGGACAUACCUCUGGUGUACCAGUUAUCGUGCCCACGGUAAACGCUGGGUAGCUAUGUAUGGAGUGGAUAACCGCUGAAAGCAUCUAAGUGGGAAGCCCACCUCAAGAUAAGUAUUCUCAUCA
rnacentral:rRNA from 1 species